UUGGGUCGUAAAUAAUCAAUAU
rnacentral:snRNA from 1 species